AAGCUAGCUAGCUAGUGAUAGCUGUAUCAGGAUCGGGUAGCUGUAUCAGGAUCGGGUAGGUAGCUAGUGAUAGCUGCCUACCCAAGCUAGCUGUACACGAUUCGCAUCCUUGCACUUGCCCUACUGUUUCUACUUCUCGUAUGCUCUCCUACUGUUGCUCAAUGUAAGCACACGAAUCUUCUGGAAAUAUAUAUGUUGUAUAUAUAGCCGAUGAAAGUCUUUCUCUAUUGCUUCUUCUCUAUACACAAUCUGUUGCGUGUUUAUCUAUUCUACUUGAAAAUAGUAUAUAACAAUUAUUUGUUUCUUAUUUCAUAGGCCGAAUCACGGCUGACUCCGAAAGCGAGAAGAUCAAUUUACCGAACGGGCUAUGCUUUCAUGAAAGGCCUAGCCGGUGCACAAGUGCUGGAUAUUGCUUCUGUUGUUUGCCAAUUAGGAUCUGCUUCGAGACUAUGGAGAAGUGCAAGGGAGAGUGUGAAAAAUCCUCUUCUUCUGAAUCUGAAGACAUAUUACUGACGAUGGCGAUGGCAUCUUCUCCUCCUUAAAUUUUUCAUGCCUAGAUAAAUUGGCUUACAUAUUUACUUCGCUCCAGAAAUAAUGCCUGAUGUGCGGGAACACAGUCCUGAAUAGGAUUAAUACUGUAGCAAUUGUUGUUAUUCGGUUUGGC
rnacentral:lncRNA from 1 species